GGGAAGGUGGCUCAGUGGUAGAGUGCUUGCCUUGCAUGCAUGAGGCACUGGGUUCCAUUCCU
rfam:Dipodomys ordii contig_16095, whole genome shotgun sequence.